UACGUAGGGGGCAAGCGUUGUCCGGAAUUAUUGGGCGUAAAGAGCUCGUAGGCGGUCUGUCGCGUCUGCUGUGAAAACCUAAGGCUCAACCUUGGGCUUGCAGUGGGUACGGGCAGACUAGAGUGCGGUAGGGGUGACUGGAAUUCCUGGUGUAGCGGUGGAAUGCGCAGAUAUCAGGAGGAACACCGAUGGCGAAGGCAGGUCACUGGGCCGCAACUGACGCUGAGGAGCGAAAGCGUGGGGAGCGAACAGG
rnacentral:rRNA from 1 species